GAUUUUUGUCGAGCCUUCGACUUUUGUCGAAAAAGCGAGACAUAGCGAUCCUACAUUCCGUCGGCGUCGUCGGCGGCGUCCACAAAUAUUCACUCUGUGGUUAAAGUUUUUGAAAUUUUAAUAACUUUCUUAAACUAUCCUGGAUUUCUACCAAACGUGGACAGAAGCUUGUUUAUGAUCAUAAGAUAGUAUCCAGAAGUAAAUUUUGUAAAAAAAAAAAUUCAUUUUUUCCGUAUUUUACUUAUAAAUGGACUUAGUUUUUCUGCCAGUUAACAUUACAUUCACUCUGUGGUUAAAGUUUUUGAAAUUUUAAUAACUUUCUUAAACUAUCCUGGAUUUCUACCAAACUUGGAAAGAACCUUGUUUAUGAUCAUAAGAUAGUAUCCAGAAGUAAAUUUGGUAAAAAAAAAAUUCCAUUUUUUCCGUAUUUUACUUAUAAAUGGACUUAGUUUUUCUGCCAGUUAACAUUACAUUCACUCUGUGGUUAAAGUUUUUAAAAUUUUAACAACUUUCUUAAACUAUCCUGGAUUUGUACCAAACUUGGACAGAAGCUUGUUUAUGAUUAAAAGCUAGUAUCUAGAAGGAAAUUAUUUUCCAUUUUUUCCGUGUUUUACUUAUAAAUGGACUUAGUUUUUUUUCCAGUUAACAUUACAUACAGUCUGCAGUUUAAGUUUUUAAAACAUUUCCUGGAUUUUUACCAAACUUGGACAGAAGCUACUUACAAUCAAAAGAUAGUAUAGAGAGGAAUAUUUUUAUUAAUUUUUUUCCUCAUUUUUGUUGAGCCUGUGAUUAACAGCAAAAGUAGGCGAGACACUGGGUUCCGCGGAACCCUUACGAAUUUUUGGUGUUAAACACCACUUUAACAUGAUUUACUAUAAUUUUGGCUGUAAAUUUUUAUUUGUGGAGACAGCCAGAGUGCCUGGUGAAAACAUCACCUUCAUCAGGGAAACGGGCAAACCUUAGUCAAAUUAAGAAUGAAGUUACACAUUUCAUGUGAGGGUUUUCAGUGUUGACAGGCUAGUGAUACAGUAGUUGAACUACUUAUAGGACCACUCUGCCACCAUAAGUGGAUCAGUACGAAAUAUUUUAUUGAAAUGUGUUAGAUUUUUGUUAUCAAUCUAUUUUUUAAUUUUAAUUGUACUAUUUUAUUUAUUUUGUUUAAUAUAACAAGGAUGUGGAGUCCGAACAGGGUGAAAUUUGGGUCAAAGGGAGGCAAUUUAUUAUACCCCUGUUUAACUCCACAUACUUGAAAUUCCCUCAAUGUUAGGAUUUUCAUCUACUUGGAUAUUCAUGUUUGUACUUUUUUUUUAAUAUCAGAUGUAUACUAGCUAAUAUUGACUAUUAUUUAGAGCUCUGUAAUAAAAAAAAAUAAAUGUAAGCAGAGCUCUAGAUAAUAAGUAUGCAGGGUGGGAGAAAUCCUGGGUCAUUAACAAUUGAUUUGCUGAAAUUUUCAAGAAAGGGGAUUUAUUGGAAAUGCAUCUGAUAUAUUUAAUGUAUAAAAACUUUAUUUAAAAAAAAAAGAUGUUAAGAUGAUGAGGAGAGCCACCUUGUCAGCCAGGAGAGCAGCUCUAAGGGAGAUGGUCAAUUUAAUCUUCACCAAGUCUGAGGCUUUACCAUGAAAAAUAUGUGGUUGUUAUAAUGAUGAUGAUUUCAUGGUGUUGGGAGUAAGACUUGGAUGUCUGAUAUUGUUAACAUGUUGAUUAGCAUCAGGUUUCCAUUGGGUUACUUGCUGGGAUAAAGCUGUUAUAAGUCAAAAGAGUUGCUGUUGCUGCCUUCCUUGUAUGGUAAAAUCCUCAGACUACAAUCCUGUAAACCAUUGGAUGAACUGUUGCUAUCUUUUGUAAAAAAAUCAGCAGAUAUUUGUCUUAUAAGCAGAAUGAAUUAUAAAUGCAAUUAAUUUUUAAUGCUUUAUUAUUCAAAUUAUAAAUAUUUAUUUCAUUAUUUUUUCUUGCAUUCAAUUAUUGUUUUGUAAUUGAAGAAAUAUAAAAAAAAAAACUGUGAAAUUAUUGUUAUUUGAGAGGUCCCAAAGGUAUGAUGUAUGGUUUCACAAGAUACUCAUAAGACUUGCUUCAGUUUACAUAUAUUUUUUAAGUUAUGUACACUGGUUAAGAAUUAUAAGUCCUUUGUGAAAUGAUUUUUUCUGGUUAGAAACCUAUUAAGUAGGACUUUGAUGGCCAAACACUAAAAGGGAAUAAAACA